rnacentral:lncRNA from 1 species
GAGUUCAAGAAGAAAUUUGGGAAGUCUCUCUAUUCUUCUCUCCAGGAUGCAGUCGGAGGGGACUGUCGUUCAGCCCUCCUGGCCCUGUGUAGAGCAGAAGACAUCUGAGACCUUCCCCACCCACCCUGACAUGACAUUCAGAAAUCUGAGAUUCCCCAUACUUGGUUGAACACAUGGAAGAACUUCAAGGAACACCAUACGCCCUAACUUCCUCUUGAGGCCGGACCUCUAAUUUUGAGGCCGGACCUCUAAUUUCUUUAAUUAUCUUUGGAUUUCCCUCUUCUCAAAGUGGCGUCUUCUAGCACCAUCCUAGAGAGGGGUAAGGGAGGUCUCUGAUUGUCUGCCUACUCAGUCCCUCCAAAGGCCAGAACACCUCCCUGGCAGUCAAAUGCCUUGGCAGAUUUAUGUUUCCGGAGUAAAGUUUUGGGGAGCAGGCUGCAGAGCAGGAAGAGGCCAAGGAGUUUGAGGUGCCUUUGAAGUGCACUCAGUCAUUCAACAGGAGCCCUGUUUCUGCCCCGGCACUGCACUUAACAGUUAUCAAGACACCCCAUGCCUGGGUCUCCUCCCCAGGAAAUUUCGGGCAACUAAGAACUGUAACAUCCCCCCAACUCAUUUUGUCAAUACAGGGAUUUGGAAAUAUACCUCC